AUUGAACGCUGGCGGCAGGCCUAACACAUGCAAGUCGAGCGAGCGGCGGACGGGUGAGUAAUGUCUGGGAAACUGCCUCAUGGAGGGGGAUAACUACUGGAAACGGUAGCUAAUACCGCAUACCCUCAGAUGUUCCCAGAUGGGAUUAGCUGGUAGGUGGGGUAACGGCUCACCUAGGCGACGAUCCCUAGCUGGUAUGGGAGGAUGACCAGCCACACUGGAACGGAGACACGGUCCAGAUCCCUACGGGAGGAAGCAGUGGGGAAUAUUGCACAAUGGGCGCAAGCCUGAUGCAGCCAUGCGGCGUGUGUGAAGAAGGCCUUCGGGUGGUAAAGCACUUUCAGCGGGGAGGCGUUACCCGCAGAAGAAGCACCGGCUAACUCCGUGCCAGCAGCCGCGGUAAUUC
rnacentral:rRNA from 1 species